AUAACGAUCAAAUUCGCUUAGCGAAUGCCCAUCCUUCUCUUCCAAAGGAAAUUUUUUCCACCCCAGACAUGGCUCCAGUAUCGAGAUUUGUAAAUUUUAAUGUUAUGAAAAGAAAGUUGUCCAACAUUUCAUACCAGCAAUUAGUCAAGUUGUGCUUGAAUUGUAUAAAGAGCUAGCCUGAAGAUGGGGCAAGAGCAAUCGAAAAAAUUCCUCAAGAUUGGCUAGAAUGUGUAUCCUCAUUCUCAGUAGCGGCUUGCAGAGGGUCGCUCCAUUUUCAACGGUUGUCAGGGCUUGAUCUCUUAUUUCAAUAAGAGAGAACUCACAAUUCCUGAGGCGUGGCAGAAAUCAGAAAACUAAUGUGGUAGUUAUGAAUCGGGCAGAAAGCUUUUGGAAAGGCAUGCAACGUGGUGUCAUGCAUGUAAACCUUUUUGAAAGCAAAUAAUGUAAACAAGUUUUAUGAUCCAGAUUUGUAAGGAGGAAAAAUAUAGGUAUUCAAAACUCCUAAAUGAUGAAUCCUCCUGCCUGAAUAUUCAUAUCUCUUGAACAUAUUUGCUCCAAGGUCUAUUUUAGCUGAUGUUCGGAUCAUCCGGCUUCAGGAAAUUCCAAUUCCUUCAGCCAACCGGGAUAAGUGUGGAGUCUUUGCAUGAACAUCCUAUGGUGCUUGCAUUUCCAUUUCCUUUUAUAAAUUCUUCCCAUGCUGGAGUACUCUUGUGAGCUGUAGAAGAAUCCCCUUCUAAGCCGGAAGUCAAAAAGUUGCCUUUCUGUUUCAAAUCCCACAGUUGAAUUCACCACUUCCGACAAAGAGGUGAUUGUGCAUUUGCUAGUGGUUCAAGAGCUGGAGCAAUUCAAGCAAUUCCAAGAAAAAUUAGUUGAAGCUAUUGUGCACCAAAUGUGAAUGGAGAACUACCCAACAAAAUUAAAGAGGCAAAUCUUUUGUGUUUUCGAAGAUGUUUCAUAAAAAGACUUGCACUUUGAAAAUAUUUCAUAAAUAUUUGGUCCUCCACUAAAGAUUCCAUCUUUAUCAGAUUCCUUGGUAAAAAUGACUAUAAUAUAUUGCUUGGCAUAGGAACAGAGCUCGUUUUCUCCUUUUGUGUUUUAUUUCUUUUCUUUCUUAGGAAAAUAUGCUUCCAAAGAGAGUUGGGUACCCAAGUAUUUGUAAAUCAGGCUUCCACCUUGAAGAGUAGAGACAUUUUUCUGGAAUUCUAGUGCAUCCACCCUUGUAUACUUCUGUGAGGUGAUUUUAUUUGCUGCAAAAUUGUUUUGAGAGGAUUAGUUUUUAGUCUUGUUCAGAAACAACCAGUCAAGGUGUUUCACACCGUGGUCGGUAAUUAGAAGCUAAUAUUUUCUUGAGGCAAGAUUUUAUGGUUUCUCUGUAGAGUUUUUCACGUAGAUUAGGAUUCAGCCACUGUUCAGCGAACAUACUGGUCUUCUUUAAAUAAUUUUAUUCUA